rnacentral:rRNA from 1 species
CCUACGUGAUGCAGCAGUGAGGAAUAUUGGUCAAUGGGCGCGAGCCUGAACCAGCAAAGUAGCGUGAAGGAUGACUGCCCUACGGGUUGUAAACUUCUUUUAUAACGGAGUAACGUGCGGCACGUGUGCCUUUUUGUAUGUACUUUAUGAAUAAGGAUAGGCUAACUCGGAGCCAGCAGCCGCGGUAAUACGGAGGAUCCGAGCGUUAUCCGUAUUUCUUGGGGUGAAAGGGACCGUAGAUGGGUUGUUAAGUCAGUUGUGAAAGUUUGCGGCUCAACCGUAAAAUUGCAAUUGAUACUGGCAGCCGUGAGUACAGUUUAGGUAGGCGGAAUUCGUGGUGUAGCGGGGAAAUGCUUAGAUAUCACGAAGAACUCCGAUUGCGAAGGCAGCCUACUAAACUGCCACUGACAUUGAUGCUCGAAAGUGUGGGUAUCAAACAGGAUUAGAUACCCGGGUAGGC